AUACGUAGGGUGCAAGCGUUAAUCGGAAUUACUGGGCGUAAAGCGUGCGCAGGCGGUUUUGUAAGACCGUGGUGAAAUCCCCGGGCUCAACCUGGGAACUGCCCUUGUGACUGCCAGGCUGGAGUGCGGCAGUGGGGGAUGGAAUUCCGCGUGUAGCAGUGAAAUGCGUUGAUAUGCGGAGGAACACCGAUGGCGAAGGCGAUUCCCCGGGCCUGCACUGACGCUCAUGCACGAAAGCGUGGGGAGCAAACAUGAUUAGAUACCCUGGUAUUCCACGCCCUAAACGAUUUCAACUGGUUGUUUGGGAUUUAUUUUCUCAGUAACGAAGCUAACGCGUGAAGUUGACCGCCUGGGGAGUACGGCCGCAAGGUUAAAACUCAAAGGAAUUGACGGGG
rnacentral:rRNA from 1 species